UACAGAGAGUGCAAACGUUGUUCGGAAUCACUGGGCUUAAAGCGCACGUAGGCGGCAUCGUAAGUGUCGGGUGAAAUCCCACGGCUCACCCGUGGAACUGCCCGGCAGACUGCGAUGCUAGAGUGUGGUAGGGGAAAGCGGAACUCCUGGUGGAGCGGUGAAAUGCGUAGAUAUCAGGAGGAACACCGGUGGCGAAGGCGGCUUUCUGGUCCACAACUGACGCUGAGGUGCGAAAGCUAGGGGAGCAAACGGG
rnacentral:rRNA from 1 species